rnacentral:rRNA from 1 species
AUUGAACGCUGGCGGCAUGCUUUACACAUGCAAGUCGAACGGCAGCACGGGUGCUUGCACCUGGUGGCGAGUGGCGGACGGGUGAGUAAUGCAUCGGAACGUGUCCUGAAGUGGGGGAUAACGCAUCGAAAGAUGUGCUAAUACCGCAUAUUCUCUGAGGAGGAAAGUAGGGGAUCGAAAGACCUUAUGCUUUUGGAGCGGCCGAUGUCUGAUUAGCUAGUUGGUAGGGUAAUGGCUUACCAAGGCGACGAUCAGUAGUUGGUCUGAGAGGACGACCAGCCACACUGGGACUGAGACACGGCCCAGACUCCUACGGGAGGCAGCAGUGGGGAAUUUUGGACAAUGGGCGCAAGCCUGAUCCAGCAAUGCCGCGUGAGUGAAGAACGGCCUUGGUUGUAAAGCUCUUCUAGUUGAGAAGAAAAGUACGUGACUAAUAAU